GACGAACGCUGGCGGCGUGCUUAACACAUGCAAGUCGAACGGAAAGGCCCUGCUUUUGUGGGGUGCUCGAGUGGCGAACGGGUGAGUAACACGUGAGUAACCUGCCCUUGACUUUGGGAUAACUUCAGGAAACUGGGGCUAAUACCGGAUAGGAGCUCCUGCUGCAUGGUGGGGGUUGGAAAGUUUCGGCGGUUGGGGAUGGACUCGCGGCUUAUCAGCUUGUUGGUGGGGUAGUGGCUUACCAAGGCUUUGACGGGUAGCCGGCCUGAGAGGGUGACCGGCCACAAUGGGACUUGGGUACGGCCCAGACUUCUACGGGGGGGAGGAGGGGGGAAAUUUGCCCAAAGGGGGGGAGCCUUAUGGAGGGACCCCGGGGGGGGGGAGGCCGGCUUUGGGGUGGAAACCCCCUUCCGCCGGGACGAAGCGGUAGUGACGGUAAUUGGAGAAGAAGCCCCGGCCAACCACCGG
rnacentral:rRNA from 1 species